rnacentral:rRNA from 1 species
UAGGGAAUAUUGCACAAUGGGGGAAACCCUGAUGCAGCAACGCCGCGUGAGUGAAGAAGGCCCUUGGGUUGUAAAGCUCUUUAGCGUGGGAAGAAGGUUGGUACGGUGAAUAAUCGGAUCAGCUGACGGUACCACGAGAAUAAGCACCGGCUAAUUUCGUGCCAGCAGCCGCGGUAAUACGAAAGGUGCAAGCGUUACUCGGAAUCACUGGGCGUAAAGCGCACGUAGGCGGACUUGUAGGUCAAUUGUGAAAUACCUGGGCUCAACCCGGGAACUGCAGUUGAAACCGCAUGUCUUGAAUACCUGAGAGGGUGGGGGAAUACCUGGUGGAGAAGUGAAAUUCGUAGAGAUCAGGUGGAACACCGGAGGCGAAGGCGCCUGCCUGGCAGUGUAUUGACGCUGAGGUGCGAAAGUGCGGGGAGCAAACAGGAUUAGAUACCCUGGUAGUCCGCACCGUAAACGAUGGAUACUAGGCGUUCGGAGAGUUAACCCUCUGAGUGCCUAAAG